CGAUAACUCAACGGAGUCGAACCGCAGGUCUUUGGACUUAGCAGGACCAAGACAAACCUAUAGUUUUCG
rnacentral:tRNA from 1 species